GGCACCCAUCCUCUUCUCUCCUCCUCCACCUCCUCUCCUGUUGCCAACGUACUUGCCCUCUCCCUCCCUCUUUUCUUUGACUCCAUUGUUGUUACUGACACCAACGGUUGCACUAUCCUAACCCUUGCCAUUGAGGCCUUCAACCGCUUCCCUUACUUCUCCUGCCCUUAGACCAAUCCUAUCUACAACACCCUCUUCUCCAUCCUCUAC
rnacentral:lncRNA from 1 species